GGAUGGCUGUGAAAAACAUAGGCAGUUGCACAUCUAUGUUUCACAGAGCACGGCUGCGCUAAGCCUCAUGGCUAUACAAAGAACUGUGAAGAGUCUGAGAUUGUACUCAGCUUAUAACCUAAGAAAUUAGUCUGCUACCGUUUCAUGAAUGCUGGCAGAAGUGAGACUCCUGGGUCAGAGACAAAGAACAUUAUUAUUCAUGUCAAGGGGAGCAGCAGAAGGAUCAACAUAUUUGCGUCAGUUCCCCUUGCCUUCAGACCCCAUGGGGGCAAUGUGGACAGGCCCAGAUGACACCAGCAUACUCAAUGGGUUGUAAUAUAGGAGAAGAACCCUGAGCUGAAGGAACUCAAAUCUUAUGAUGUAUAGUCUCCAGAGGGAGACAUUACCUUUGUUACAGAGGAUGGUAAGAAUGCCCGCCCUUUGCUCUGCAGAGAGACAUCUCUGUCUUCCAAGGCUAUUUGCUGUACAGGCUUCCUUGAAAAGAUUCUCCAGAGUAAAAGACACUCUGUGCCUCUGCUUGCAAGAUGUGCAGGACAACAUGUUACCCCACGGAGAAUUAACUCCCAACAGAUUACCUGGCUCUGUUUCUCAUUCCCUUCCCAUGCCGUGCCCCUGCUUCUUCACUCUUUCCACUGUAAGAUCCCACUGUGCCCUGAGCCCACCCACUGCCACACUAUACUGUACUUGCUUACUUAUAAGCCUCUCCAAUUUGACUAUAAGCUUCUUAUGAGAUGAGACUCUAUAAUUCUUCUUGGCAUCACCAGUUCAGCCCAGUGUUUGACCCUCAGGACUCAAUAAAUGUUUUCUGAAAUAAUGAAUGAGUCAACAUCUAGAGAGUUGCUUGAGGGCAGAGGGUGUAUUUUAUACAACUUUGUAUCACAAACUGUAGCUCCAAAAAUGUUAAUUUCAUAUAACAGAAUUACUAUUGUAAUAAAAUUAAAUGAUAAACAUUUUCCAAACAGGCUAAUGAAGUCCAAACCUCUAGACAAGGUUCUCAAGAUGA
rnacentral:lncRNA from 10 species